UACGUAGGGUACAAGCAUUAAUCGGAAUUAUUGGGCGUAAAGGGCGCGUAGGCGGGGACGUAAGUCAGGUGUGAAAUACCAAAGCUCAACUUUGGUGCUGCAUUUGAAACUGCGUUUCUUGAGGACUGAGGGAGAAAGCGGAAUUCCAUGUGUAGCGGUGAAAUGCGUAGAUACAUGGAGGAACACCGGUGGCGAAAGCGGCUUUCUACUUUUUACCUGACGCUGAGGCGCGAGAGCAAGGGGAGCAAACAGG
rnacentral:rRNA from 1 species